UCGUGUCGCAAAAACUAUGACUCCAAAAUUUCGUGAAUAUAGUGGCUUAUCCGAAAAUGAUUCGCUCUCCCUGAUAACGUUUAUAGCAAUGAAGGAAGAACAUGAGUGAAGAAAUCAAAAUUUAGAAGUAAUUGCUAAAGAAAUGCUGAAGAAGUGUGUGGGAGUUCCCCUUGUAAUUAUGACGAUAGGGCGAUUGCUGUUCUUCUCGAGAAACACUGAAGAAGAACGGUUGAACUUCAAGAAUAAUGAUUUAUCAAGAAUAAAUCAAGAAGAAGGUGAUAUCAUGCCAUUGCUUAAGGUGAGUUACGAUUUUCUGCCGUCACAUUUGAAACAGUGCUUUGCUUAUUGCAGCUUAUUUCCGCAAGAUUUUGAGCUACAACCACGUGAGCUCGUUCAUCUUUGGAUGGCCCAGGGAUUUAUUAAACCUCUAGGCGAUCAGAAAACCCUCAAAGAGAUUUGGUAGCAAGAGAUAAUUGCAUCACCAUUGAUAGCUCACAGGCCAUAAAGGUUCAAGAAGGAGCUCGUCAUGCAUGUACCACAAUGGUCUGGGUGAGUCGAAAGGGUUUGUGAGAGAGAGGAGAAUAAAAUUCCUGUUUCUUAUGGUUGAAAAGCGCACUGUGAUUGCUUAUUUGGACGUUUCGUGUUUUACAAAUCUACAAGCACUACGUCUUCCUGGUGUCCGCGAAGAGGUGAUAUCACGUUCGAUCGGUAAGCUUGGCUGCCCAAGAUUCUCUUACAUGCCAACGGCUACUAUGAGUGGGAUGGAGGAUGAGGAAUACUGUAACUGCACUCCUACUCCCCCACCACGAUCCACUACUACUUCCCCUCGCCCCCCAACUAUCGACGUAGGAGCCGAUUGAUCCAUCUCCAUCGACGAUAAUAAAGAAUCAGAUGAUAGCCAUAUCUUCUACAUCUCUCGCUGUAUUGAAGUCCCUCUCUAUCACUGGAAUGGUGGAUGCAGGGCACUUGCCGGUGAAGUUAUUUCAGUCCGUCCCGACUCUUCAGAUACUAAGAAUUACUCAUUGCCCUCGACUGAAAGCUCUCCCUUUGCGGGCGAUUCUCUGAUAAUUAACCGUCCUUGAGACGCUGGAAAUUUCUUGGUGCCAAGAGCUUGAUUUAUUCACCGAGGAUGAUGACGACGCCGAUGAUGAUGGCGGUGAUAAAGGCAUGAACGAUCUCCUGCAGCUGCAGGGCCAUCGCAAACUUCGCUGCCUAAUAAUCGAAGGAAUUCAUAUGACGGAGUCUUUGCCUGGGUGGUUCCAGUACCUCUCCAACCUCCAAUAUUUAAAUAUUUUUGAUUGCCAAGCCUUGAAGUUUCUGCCCGGAAAACUGAUUCUUCCGCUUCUCAUCACUCUCAAGUCAUCGAGGCUAUUCCGCUGUCCAAAACUUGACUUAUCAAUAAUGGAGUCAGAAGACAUGCCGAUGCCGUCUAAUUUACAAUUCACCAAACUCCGCAAGUUGAAAUUAGAGGUGAUCGAAAAACUGGGGACUCUCCUAUGGUGGGUUCAACCCCUCACUAACCUUGAAAGUUUAGAAAUCAAAUCCUGUCGGAAUCUGAAGGCUUUCUACCUGAGUGGUUUCCCAAUUUCACCUCACUCAAUAGUCUCCCCGUUUCUAAAUGUGGAGAGGAGCUGAGAAGAAGGUGCCAAGAGGAUACCGGAGGAGAGGAGUAGCCUAAGAUUUCUCACAUCCAGAAUGUAUUCAUAUGGUGAAGUGGAUGGAUCCUUUCUCCCUCACUGCCUCCAAAGGCUGCCAUUUGUGUGGAAUUCCUUUGGGAACAUUGCAACAAAACUCGACUUUGCUCCUAUGGUUCUCGAUCCCCUUCUGGCAGUUCAAACUACCAACGAUAGGCUUCAAGCGUAUCAAGAAGCCUGGUAUUCAAAGCUGUCUCUAUCAGAGGCCACUUGCAAGCUUCGGUGCUCCUCGGAUCAGCUCCAUUUCUCUGUUUUAGCACUGCUGCCACAACCUCAAGCUCAUGGGCUGGUAUUGCUGCAAUCAACACUAAAGCCUCUCUUUCUUGUUCAUGCGUGGGCCUUCAAAGGCUCCACUGGAGACUCCUUGCAAGGCGAACUUUUUUGCUGCAAGAAAAAACCAUUGAAUGUGCACUAGGGAUUGCCAUCUCCAACCUUAGCCUUUUUGAGGACGCAAAGGACAAUUUGGUGAAUGAACUUAACUCAGAUAUUGGAGGACCAACUUUUUACCUUUUUACCAGCUAUUCUACGUGCUUUCGACCUUUUGUCUCUUUUUGUGAUUCUUUGGAUAAAAAGUUUACUCCUGGGGCGAGUAAUUUUUUCGCUCAUAACUUAGCUCAUUGGGCUGCCUGUGUGGAAAUCACCGAGCCUCAAAGCAUCUCCAAAUCCACACAAUCCCGUCUUGUUAGGGAAUUGGAAAUGGUUUAGGCCAAGUGUUUUCUCACUUUCAACAAUGGAUGCCUUUAUCUAGCAGAAAGGAAAAAAAUAAAUAAAUGCAAUGAAUGGCCUUCAAUCACUGCAAACCGCUGAGAGAUGUUGACUGUCGAGAUUUACUUUUUUAGACAAGAGAAAGUUGAAAGAGUCCAUUAUAGUGGUCAUUUAUUUACUUAUUUAUUUUUCAGUUACAAGGACUGCACAUGGAUCUAGAAGAAAUCCUUUAAGGUUUUCUAUCUACUAUAGGAUAACCUAUGCGUCCCUCUUCUAAUCAUCCAGUUGUUUACAAGUACGAGAUUGCUUUGUA